UACGGAGGAUGCAAGCGUUAUCCGGAUUUAUUAGGUUUAAAGGGUGCGCAGGUUGUUUGAUAAGUCAGUGGUGAAAGUCUGUCGCUUAACGGUAGGAUUGCCAUUGAUACUGUUGGACUUGAAUAUGGAUGAGGUAGGCGGAAUGUGUAGUGUAGCGGUGAAAUGCAUAGAUAUUACACAGAACACCGAUUGCGAAGGCAGCUUACUAAUCCAUCAUUGACGCUGAGGCACGAAAGCGUGGGGAUCAAACA
rnacentral:rRNA from 1 species